rnacentral:pre_miRNA from 1 species
UAUAUACUCCCUCCAUUUGAAAAUACUUGUCAUCAAAAUGGAUAAAAAGAGAUGUAUCUAGAUGUAUUUUAGUUCGAGAUACAUCUUUUUUUAUCCAUUUUAAUGACAAGUAUUUUCGGACGGAGGCAAUAUUAC